rnacentral:tRNA from 1 species
AGCAGCGUGGCUCAGUGGAAAGAGCACGGGCUUUGGAGUCAGAGGUCGUGGGUUCGAUUCCCAGCUCGGCCA